rnacentral:lncRNA from 1 species
AUUCAAUAUAUUGUUCACAAACAGACAAGCUUGGAUCCAAACUACCUGAAGAAUAUAAAGAGAAGUUCUAAUUCUUAGACUUGGAGGGUGAGAGUUGAUGAUUGUUGGUAAGUGAGAGUUUGCAUGAGUUUCUCAAUUCUCGUACCUGACUGUCAAAUGAGAAUAUUUACCUCACGUGUAUUGAAAACUCUCAUCCUCACAUUUAAUUUAUUGGUUAUUCACAGUUGCCAAAGGCACGAGAUUUGUAGGGGGGUCUGGGGGGGGGGGCAUUUUUAAAAUUUGGAUCCCUGAAAUGGCAUUUGCAGCAUUCUGAGAGCACAUUUUGUAAGAAAUUCCAUGUUUUCAAAACAUUAAGUUAAUGGUGCAUUUUGGUAUAAAUCAUGUGGUAAGCAUAAGAAAACGGUAACCUGAACUUGCAGUACGUAAUAAAUAUCUAAACCAGAGAAGUGAAAGAACACCUGAAAAUUCCUACCUAUAGAAUAGAUACUGUAUAGUCCGUAGUAAAUUUGAUACAAUUAAUUGCUAUUGUUUUAUGAAAACUCGGAAGAUACUCAAAAUUAUAUAUGCAUGUAUAUCAUAAGUCUAUAUUCUGAGUGACGUAACUGGACACGAUUAAAGUUACAUUCAUUGGUAUUGUGACAGUCUCCAUAUUGACUCUGCCUUGCUUAAAACCGAGUGCGAACGGGCGAAGAUUCUAAUUGCUGCCGGAAAGAACAUCGACCCUGAGCUGUACCCCAACUUAUUCAAGGUGAUCGCCAUAUCAAAGACCUUGCCAGUUGUUACUGCAACCGUGGAAAGAAGCUUCAGUGUUAUGAAUCGGAUAUUGAGCUGGGCUCGUCAUAAUGAAUACAAAUCGUUUCGCCCCCAAGUCGAUUUGCCCCAAGUCGUCACCGACUUUGUCAAACCUUUUCACGCUUUUGUUUUCGUUUGAAAUGUCAGCUUUGGCUUUGACAAGUUUGAAGCAUGCAUGCAUUAGCGUUGGCCAGUGACUUUGUGUUGCUAUCCAUGAAUAAAGACCUGUUAAAAAGGAUAAACUUGGACAAAGUGCUUGAUCGAUGGGUAAAUCAAAAAUCCCGAAUAGUACAGUUUAUAAGAAAAGACUUGUAGCGCAGCUAGCGCUUAAAACUAAUUUAAUUUGACUUUUUUCAGAAUUCAUAACACUCAUUGUGUGACUUGUGAGAUCAUAAAUUUAGAAUACUUUAGCUUGUUUUUAGCUUGUUUCUAUUAAAACUUGCCAUUUCGUUGCUGUUGUUAUUGUAACAAAUAGUGCUUCCUUAUAUCAUGCUUUCAUUUUUCAAAAUGAAUUAUGAAAUCUAGCUAAAAUAUAAUUUUAGUAAUUUUUUUUUUUUUUUUUUGGGGGGGCGAUCGCCCCCUCCCUCGCCCCCCCCCCCCUAGUUCCUCCACUGGUUAUUCAGUUUGUCCUUAAGUGUUUAUGGUCAUAAUUAAUGGCAACGGAACAGUUUUUAUUUUUUUUGGGAGGGGGCCUUGGGGGGUCUAAUUUCCAUAAAUUGUGCAACAUAAUGAUAUGCGUGAUAUUCCCCCAAUACGUGAUAUCAAGCAUGCGUACUUCUUUGCUGCGAAGAGUUGUGAUGAGCUGUUUGCCGGACACUAGGAAUUUUUGUCACGAAUGACAAAAAUAUGUUUUAUAUUUGUUGUUCACGACACGAGUGACAAAAAUCCUGAAUAUUUUCCCCGCACACUAGGAUUUUUGUCACACGUAAUUGAUCACGAAUGACGAGAAUGACAAGUGUGCGUGCAACUUGCACUAGUGUGCGCCGGCCUUUGGAGUAUACGUAUAACAUCAGAGGCUGUAUAUUGCAUGUGUCCUGAAACCUUUAGACCUUCUAAGGAGACAUCUAACAUAUUUAGAAUGUUUGCUGACUCAAGUGCCCUUUCUGGUCAGUACCCCUUCACUGUCGAGGUGCUUCCGCGGUCUCUGAUUGCCAGCAAUAGAUGGACUAAAUUCAUUUGCUUUCAGAUCGACAAGAUAUAAUACUUUUCCAUUACCGUUAUUUGAUGUCACUGAUGACUCAAAACAAUGGCAAUUACAGCCAAGCAUCUGGUGAAGUUAUCAAUGCUAUUUAUGAAAUGUCGAAAGGCUCAAGCAUGCUCUUGAUGGAAAAAUUG